rnacentral:lncRNA from 1 species
GGGAAAGGCUGAAAGAUGCUGAGGAGGAGGGUGAUCCUGUAGGAGGACCAGCAGUCUCAAUUAAUCUGGAUCCCUGAGAUCUCUCAAACACUGGACCACCAAACAGACAGCAUACACCAGCUGAUAUGAGGCCCCCAGCACCUAUACAGCAGAGGAUUUCCAGAGACUGAACAAGAUCACAAGCUCUAGAACCAACUGUCAACACUGCCCUCGCCCUGCUGAUUUGAAGAUUCAAAUCUCUGUCACUGGACACUUGAUCAGCCACCUCCUGAGAGGCAGCACAACUACAGUUAUGGAUAUCAAUGAAGACAUUUUAUGGUCGGGGUCAUCACAGCAUAAGGAACUUAAUGAAAGCGGCUCAGCAUGAAGAAGGUUGAGAGCCACUGGUGGAGAGGAAGCUCAUUCAAUGACUAGGAGCUGGAUUAGGAAGCUUUAAAAGUUAACUUCUAGACCUGGAGAGAUGGCUCAGUGGUUGAGAGCUCUUCCUGAGGACCUCCAGUUCCAGAAGAUACAAUGCCCGCCCGCUUCUGGCCUCCAUGGGCACUGUAUGUAUGGUGGUAUACAAACAUGGAAAAAUG